UCCCUGGUGGUCCAGUCGCUAAGACUCCUUGCUCCUAAUGCUGGAGACCUAGGUUCAAUCCCUAGUCAGGGAA
rfam:TPA: Bos taurus chromosome 9, whole genome shotgun sequence.